CUCUCCCUCCUAAAUAUUUCAAUUUCCCUCCAACUUAUAAUUAAUCAAAAAAUUUGAGAAAGUAAAUAUUAACAUGAAAGAUUAUAUCAGUUCUCUCUCACACAAACCCGUUGACCAAAUAUAUCAAUUCUCCCACACAUACAAAAAAACUUUUUCCAAAUAUCUUCAAAUAUGAUUCUUUGAGCUCAAAUCCACCGAAUUCAUCAAUUUUCUUCAAAUUUAUUUGCCUAAAAUCCUCAAAUUUCGUCUGUCCACAGCUCAGUCUGCUUAGUUAAGUGAUUAGAGUGAAAAUUUUAGAUCAGGCUUCAGUUCAACCGCGGAUGAGAGGAUAUAGUGGGCAGGCAUCAGCCUUACAUAGGUGAGUGCGAAGCAUCCCUGACAGAUAGUGAUUCUGUCAAGGUCAGAACCUUGGAUGACAGAUCAUGAAGUAAAUAAACAAAUCAAACUAUAGAUGAGAAAAUUCAGUGGGAGAUAAUCAAUCACAGGUCCCCGAGGCAUCCUAACAUAAUUAGAUUCAAAGAGGUGAUUUUGAUUCCAACUCAUCUCGCUAUUAUGAUGGAAUAUGCAUCUGGUGGGGAGCUUUUUGAGAGAAUUUAAAAUGCAGAGCGCUUCAGCGAGGAUGAAGUAUUUAAUCUGCUAACACUGUGGUUAUUGUUGUGUGAUAUUUAUGAUGUCAAAUAAUCUCUUCCUGUGGAAGCUCGCUUUUUUUUUUGAAGCAACUUAUAUCUGGUGUCAGCUACUGUCACUCCAUGCAAGUAUGUCAUCGGGACUUGAAGCUGGAAAAUACAUUGCUUGAUGGAAGCCCUGCUCCUUGGCUAAAAAAUUGUGAUUUUGGUUAUUCCAAGACUUGGGUGUGGGCGAUCAAUAUGGUGUGGAUCUAGAGGUCAAAUCCUUAAUGAUCUACCUCUACACUUGCAGAUACUGGGAGAAACAGUCUAAACAAUCAAGCAUGCUGGAGAGUUACUGCAUCUACCAGUCAUUGAAGUUGUAAAAGACACUAUUAUGGAAAGGUCCUUUAAAUGAUGGAGAAUUAUUGAUUAGGAGUCUGAAGACAUUAAAUUUUGUAUUAAGAAAUAAUUGGACAACAAAUUUAUAUUAAUUUUUUUUUUCAAAAAUAUUAAUAUUAGUGGAGACUAUAAGUUGCCGCUAAAGGUGUAUUUCCUUAAUAUUGAAAUUGCCUAUUGUAGCAA